UACGUAGGGUGCAAGCGUUAAUCGGAAUUACUGGGCGUAAAGCGUGCGCAGGCGGUUAUGCAAGACAGAUGUGAAAUCCCGGGGCUCAACUCCGGAACUGCAUUUGAUACUGCCUUGCUAGAGUACUGGAGAGGAGAUUGGAAUUUACGGUGUAGCAGUGAAAUGCGUAGAUAUCGUAAGGAAGACCAGUGGCGAAGGCGAAUCUCUGGACAGUUACUGACGCUGAGGCACGAAGGCCAGGGGAGCAAACGGG
rnacentral:rRNA from 1 species